rnacentral:tRNA from 1 species
CGAGCAAGCCGCUAUGGUGAAAUCAGUAGACACGCUGCUCUUAGGAAGCAGUGCUAGAGCAUCUCGGUUCGAGUCCGAGUGGCGGCAUGCCAUCUUCU